UACAGAGGGGGCAAGCGUUGUUCGGAAUUACUGGGCGUAAAGGGCGCGUAGGCGGCCUUCUAAGUCGAACGUGAAAUCCCUGGGCUCAACCCAGGAACUGCGUCCGAUACUGAAAGGCUUGAAUCCGGGAGAGGGAUGCGGAAUUCCAGGUGUAGCGGUGAAAUGCGUAGAUAUCAGGAGGAACACCGGCGGUGUAGACGGCUUUCUGGACCAUUACUGACGCUGAGAUACGAAAGCGUGGGUAGCAAACAGG
rnacentral:rRNA from 1 species